GGGCAGGGCGGGGAAGGGGGGUUAUCUCUAUUUUGGUGCUGGGCGUGGGGCCGGGAAACAACGCGAGGAGAAGGCGGCGCAGUGUUUGAGCAGGCUUCACCUCCGCUUCCGAGCAGCUUUCCAGAAGCAACAUGCUUAUGAAGCCAAUGAAAAAGCCCAAGACAAAGAGGAUAGAACAUCUAUCGGACCAAAUCCAGCCGGUUUUUACCCAUCUCCUCCCAGUCACAGACAGCCCAACUCCACUGCAGACGGGCAUUAGUCAGAACGGGCGAAUGGCACGUCUCCCCAUCCUUCUCCGACCCGAGGAGAAGUAUCAUUUUUCUGCGAAGCAACACUUCCCUGAAUCACACUUCCUGACCGUGCUGAAACUCCACUGAGGCAAAUCAUUUUUCUAACCCCUGAACUGGAUGUUUCUAGAGGAAAUACUGACAGACUUCUGCAGAGGACAGUUGGGGAAAAGGGAUCUUUCAUCUAGACUUUUUGCAUGUAAACCAACCGCCUAAUGAGCUCUCUGAAGACCACAGGUAAUAUAUGAGUGUAACCUGACAGUGUGGCCAAAGCACUGAAUAUCCAGCGGCAACUCCCUCUCUUCAGGGGACAAUUUAAUCCAUCUCUCAAGGUUACAGAGCAAUUUAGCUAAAGAUCAUGGGUCAGAUUCUGAUCUCAUUUGUAUCUCAACUCCUUCUGUGAGCGAGGCCACCGCUUUCUCUACCGACCUGCUAGAAAGCUGGAAAGCAGCUAAAUGGUCAGAUCAGCACCUGAUCCUGCAAAGCUUUACUUGCCUGAGCAGUUGGGGACACUCAGUGGGGCCUACCCACGUCCAGCUUGGUAGAUAAAGCCAAAGCUGUUGAAGGCCAACAGACGAAACAUCUGAACUAUCCCCCAAAAUUAACCUGGAAGAAGCAGAAGAAAAAUAUCUACAGCUCAGAUCUUUCAGCCCAAAUACAUGGAACAAAUUGACAAUCGUUAGCAGUAAUUUCUCAACUAACGCCUCUGCAAGCAAGCACGGGGCUUGCAGGAUUGGCCCCCCCAAGCAAGGCAAAUCCUACACCCAGCUGACUCCAAGCAUACGCCAACUUACAGUCUGAUUCGAUUUAAAACAGCUGACUUGUAAAUGAGGCUUAUAAUGGAAUUGGCAAAUGACCCUUAAAUAUAGUAUUGCAAACCAGCAGCAUACAAAAAUAAUCAGGGCUCAAGUCAGGAUUCAGACCUCAGCCGCAAACGAGAGCAGGAUCACGGGUGCUUCACACCGCUGGGCAAGAAACAGCACAAGCAAGCUGGGAGAAAACCUCAGCCUCUCUCCUCUUGGGGCUUUCAGAGGUGACCCUUCAGAAAGAAAAAAAGGAGAGGAAAAAAGGAGAAAAGGCGGCCCCGCCGCGUAAAGAGAGACAGGCUUGCGUGUUUGUUUUGGCUGAUCCUGAACUCCAGGCAGUUUCCAACUGGAACCCAGAAAUGCUUAUGGUGUUUGGAUUCCGUCUACAUCCCUCCCAUGACGUGAAGAGCCUUUCGGGAUGAUGGGCUGGGAUUUUUCUUCCCCUAACGACUAUAUUUACUGCUGCAUUUUGAACUCACCAUGCUGUCAUUACAAUGUCAGAUUAAAUUACAUGUAUGAUAACCAUAACAGAAAUACAUGCACUGGUUCACAAAGGCUUUACAAGGAAACAUUUUCAGGGGAAGUUGGGAUUGCUCGAACGUCCGGACUCAAAGGGGGUGUCCAAAAGAGGCUUUGAAUUAAAGGGCACUGACUGCAGCCAGAAUCUGGCCUGCUGGAGCUGAACAGAUGGAAUUUAUGCUUUUGUCUGGCUUUACCGGGUAAAGUGUUUUUUAUUUGUCCUGGUGUAACUGCAAAUUUGCUCCAGCGAUUUAACCAAUGCUACCCUGGAUUUACACCAGUGCAGCUGAGGACAAGGAAGUUAAAAUGGGCUGCGAGACAGUUCUGCAAAUUAAUCCAAAUCCUCUACCUGGCCAGAGGUAACUGGAUCUGCCUUUGAGGCUGUUCUUCCAAAUAUCCCUGUAACUGCUGGGAAAAAAUAGCAGCCAGGUUUCUUCCAACCGCUGUGGGCAGCUGGGUAAGUGAACUUGGCUGAUCUGCCUCGAGGGCUGUUCCAGGGCACAGUUACAGAGGCAGCAACCUCCAGGAGAGAGGUAGGAUGGCAUCAUCUUCCAUCGGCACAGCUGGAUGCGUAAGUCAACAUCUGUGCAGGCUCUGAUUGCAUCUACCUACGGGGAAAGGUACAACUAUAACUAAGCCAGUUUAGAUAAAGUGCUACAUCUUCCAGGCAAACCUAUUAGAUGUUACAGACCACUUUUGUGGAGCAGUGUGACAUAUCAAUAUCUACACAUGCUUUGGCUCUCAGCUCCUAAACAGAAGGUGUCUUGCUGAGCAGCUGCUUCACUCUUGCUGUCUUACACAAAAAGAAAUGCAGGUGCCUAACACAACCCCACGUAUCUGUGCACGGGAGAAGGAUAUUGCAUGGGUGUAGAAAGUACAUGGCAUCCACGGUACUAGUCCAAGAUACAGUCUUCCUCCUGGGCAUGAAAGCCUCAGGAUUUUACCCCACUGUCCUCAUCAUUUCACUGUCUCUGUUUUGCAUUUCCUCUUACAGCAUAGAGAUGUCAGUCCCUGCGUUAAUUGUAUUUACCGUGAAUUCUCUCUAGCUGAGGAAAAUUCCUUAGAUAAAGGGUUACAAUAAAAUAAGACAUUUGGAAAGAUCUAUCUCUCCAUCCACCCAUCUAGCCUCCCAUCUCUGGCAUUUCUAAUACACAUUAUGCUGCUUUAUUUACGCAUCACAUUAGCAAAAUAACCUUUAAAACAUUUUAAUUUAUUCUCCCUGUUUGUCAGUGAAAACAUUCACCCAAAAUCAGCUUAAAUGCUGCAUCUUGCAUUUUAUGUGUUUUUUAGGCACAUAUAUCCCCUCAUUCAGUCCUAGGAACGGGCAGGAACCCAGCGGCUUGCCAACACUGCACUUCAAAGCAGUUCGCCAGCGCUCGCCACGACCACGGGCUGGAAUGAAACGGCAGCGCUGCAGCACGCCGGGACUUCCCUUUUCCAUGUCGGCACUUCAAAAUGUUUAAAAAUGCACUUACGCCCCAUUCUGACCGCUGCCUCUGUUUGCAAACCCUGCCCCGAGCUUCGUGUCAGGUCAGCGGGAGUCGCGUCCGCGUUGUUCGCAUACCUGAGGACGAGGCAGCGGGACUCGCUCGCUGCACACGGAACAAAGACCCGAGUUACUGCAGCGCUCUGCCCGGUGCCGCGCAAUUAUGGUUAGAGAAAACCCUUGUUUAGAGCAGAACCCUUCCAGCUGGGGAAAAAGUGACUUAAUUAUAAGCUCAUUGUGCUCCGGGCGUGUACAGUAUGUUUGUGAGUGGCGCGUGUAUACGUGUGUGUGAGGCUAAGAGCAGGGCUGUGCUCCUUGCCCAGGUGGACAGCCACAUCUGCUGACCCACCGAUGAGUUGCAGUUGAUGGUAGGGGCAAGCAAACCAGCUUCUACAGAUGGUGAAACGGGGGAUUUGAAGUGUCCUUCCAUGGCUUCCAUGAGGACCUGCUGAGGGCCUCGGCGACAAGCUUGCUUGGCGCUUGUGAAAGGUGAUGGAUGGGCAGCAGCGGAGACAGAAAUCUUCCUUUUAUAUUUGUGGGGCAGGUACCUCAUCAGCAACAGCAGCAGCUACACGAGCUGCAUCUUCUCCGAACAACAGCAAUCCUGAGACAAAAAAAGGUGCUUCAGUAUAUCCUUAGGCUUUCUGCAAUAUCUGGCUCCUAUAACCAUCUCACCUCUGUCAUUAAUGGACUUCAUGCUUUCAAAAGGUGAGGUUGAGCCAGGUCUAGCUGUAGCCAGCAGCACACAUGUCCAAGCUCAUAUCUGAGUCUCCAGACCCUGCACCUCCAAGCACAGUCUACCCCUCAUCUCUAGUGGUACCAAGAUAACUGAGCUGCGCUGGUACUUCCCAUCCUGGCCGCCUCUGUAUGAAGCAAGCAAGCAUCACCUCCUCUUGGCUAGAAAGCAGCCUUGCAGAGAAGGACCUGGGGGUGCUGGUGGACCACAAGGUGCACAGGAGUCAGCAGUAUGCCCUUGCAGUGAAGAAGGCCGGACACACACUGAGCUGCACUAGGAAAAGUGUUGCCAGGAGGUUGAAGGAAAUGAUUCUUCCUCUCUCUUCAGCGCUUGUGAGGUGAGAUCUGGAGGACUGUGUCCAGCUGGGGCUCUCCAGUACAGGACAAACGUUAUCAUCCUGGAGGUAUAGCAAGAUGGUUAGGGGGCUGGAGCACACAGUGUAAGAGGAGAAGUUUGUUCAGACCAGAAGAGAGAAGGUGAAGGUGGGAACUUAAUUGCUUUAGUCAACUACUUAUGGAAUAGCUAUAGAGAAGGUGGAGAGGGCAAGAUGCUACGGAUGCAAGUUGCAGCAAAGGAUGUUUUGAUCAUAUGUAAGAAAAACAUGUUUUACUAUGCGGCUGGUCAAACAUUGGACCAUGCACCCAGAGGGGCUUUUUCUGUCCUUGGAGAUACUCAAAACUCACUGAUACAAAGGCAUGAGCCAGACCUAGCACUUGUCCUGCUUUGGGUGGAAGAUUGAACAAGAGGCCUCCAAAGGUCCUCACCAACCAAAGCCAGUCUCUGACUCCAUGUUUUGGUUUUGCAGGUAGGGAACCAAGGCAGAAAGGAGAUGAAACGAUACAAGCACAAGCUCAUAGUGGGUCUGCACCUGAGGCUACAUCUCCAGAGAGCUCUCUAGAGCCCUUCCCACACUGCUGUAGAAUCAACUGCUUCUGGGUAUAUUAGACAUGGCACCAUAGCUGUAUAAGUGCUGGGCUUUCCAGGGUCAUCUGCUCUUCUUUCUUCCCUGGUCAAAGGAAGCUAUUCUCCAGCUGUAAAACUCUUCUUCUUCUUCUUUUUUUUUUUUAACUUCAGGGCCAAUUCAGCAACUCAUCUUUCUCCUAAGACUGUCAGCAAAAGUGUCAUCUGUACUGCUGGUUUCUGUGAUGUGGAAUCAUGCCCACCAAGACUUGGACCAAGACUAUGCAGCCCAUUUCGUGUAAGCCACCAACCAGCCCACACUUGGCAAAAACUGAAGACCGUAUCAACCAUGCCUGCAUGACUUAUGGCUCUGGGCCAUUUUUCUCCAGCACUCUGAGCAGCCACGAUAUAAAUCUUGCUCUUCAUUCACUAGUCUUAGGCCAUGACAACACAAUCACUUGGCUCCCCACGCCACACAGUCUUUGGGUGUUUGUCAGAGAUGUGUCAGUGGAAAAACGAACUCUAUACCCUGGCGAGAGCAGCUGGAAGGAGAGCAGUUCUUCAUAAAACCAACCACUGCUGCCCUUUCUCAGCUCACUUGCUGGCUGCAGGACGAAUUCAGAUCCUUGUGAAAUCACUACGGACAUUUACCUGCACUGGGAGCAAAUCCGUAUUUCUCCUUCCAGGGGGAAUAAACAAGCAGAAUUUUCUUUGCGCAGAUAAAUGCAGGGCCAGCGUCGUGCUUCCCCUGCAGUGCCAGCACUCUCACACCUAAACAUCUUCAUGAAACAGUGUGCAUGUGCAUGUACACACAUCCUUUAUUUGGACCUAAAUUGACUCCUUAUGGAGAAGCCCACUUGUCCCACUGAAGUCAGUUGAGUCCUCCCACCCACCUCAGCGAGGCUACGAUUCCUGAUAAACCGCACAGUGGUAAUUGGUAGAGUCACAGAGAAAGCAAUUUCCUCAACCGGUAAAACUGAAGUUCUGUAGCACUUUUUAUAUAUUACCCAAAUGAUCCUUUUCACUGCCUUAAACCUCUUUACUGAAAUAUUCUUGGCUCUGAUUAUUACCGUCCUGCUAGAGCGUGCUGAUGGGAUGCUGGGACCCUACCGCGUGCUGGACGGUGCACAAACAUACAUCCACAGUGACCACCCCUAUGGAGACCAGCGAUAGAGAAGAUGACAGUGGGAUUUGAUAGGAAGGACAAAGCAGUCUCAAACCGCUCUUGAGCCCUAGUAUUAUACGGAUGCAGUUCAGGAAAGUCACGCAGUUAUUAAUUAUCAGGUUAUCAGUACCAGAGAGGUGGAGUCUUACUUCUGUCCAACUGGGGAACGAAGAGAGCCCAUCCCCAGCUGAAAGCUGUGGGUGAAGGUAUUGCACCAGCGAGAGGAUUAAAUCACGUUCCCUAAUUUAAUAUUUCCCAAUAUGAGGAAAAGACACAGAGGAAGAGCCCAGGUAAAACGCUAGCUGCUGAAGGUGGGUUAGGAAAGGCUCGCAGCAGAGAGAAGCUCGGAGAAGGAUUGCAGGGGGAGGAAGUUGCCUGCCACAUGAGCCACCGAGCGCUUCAAACACGGGGCACGGAUAAAUGGAGUCACGGAGCAGGGUGGGAGGAGAUGAAGGAAGCAGGCAGGAGAGAAGAUUACAGGAGUGUAAGGAACAACAAAGAGGAGGAGAGAGGAGAGGAAAAAUUAUGCAGGGCCUCGAAGGUCAAAAGAGUCAACUUCAAAAGGAUUCCUUAAAAGACAUAAAGCCAAUGCCUUCAUAUUCAAUUAUUUAGUUUUCACACAAAUCUAAGUAAUAUAUGGUUUUUUUGCACUCCCAACACUCAAUCUGGCACAAAACAAAGACAAAGUGGAGAAAUGAUGGGAGAAGCUUCAGACUCUUUGCUUCCCCGAUGCACUUAGAUGGGGCUGGAUUCUGCGCUACCCCCUCGCAAAGCGAGCUGAGCACGGAGGAGGCUUUUCUGCUUCGUGUGAAUGGGAGGGUGCAAGCGGGACCACAACCAGGAUUUCUUGUUCGUGGACUGCAAAAUGGUAAAAGAUAACUUCAAGUUAGCUUAAACUCUUGCUUGCCCCAAAAUAAAAUGUUCUGUAUAAAU